rnacentral:rRNA from 1 species
UACGGAGGGGGCUAGCGUUAUUCGGAAUUACUGGGCGUAAAGCGCACGUAGGCGGACUGGAAAGUUGGGGGUGAAAGCCCAGGGCUCAACCCUGGAACUGCCUUCAAAACUCCCAGUCUUGAGGUCGAGAGAGGUGAGUGGAAUUCCGAGUGUAGAGGUGAAAUUCGUAGAUAUUCGGAGGAACACCAGUGGCGAAGGCGGCUCACUGGCUCGAUACUGACGCUGAGGUGCGAAAGCGUGGGGAGCAAACAGG